UACGUAGGUGGCGAGCGUUGUCCGGAUUUACUGGGCGUAAAGAGCGCGCAGGCGGUCGUACAAGUCGCGUGUGAAAGCCCCUGGCUCAACUGGGGAGGGUCACGCGAUACUGAUCGACUCGAAGGCAGGAGAGGGUAGUGGAAUUCCCGGUGUAGUGGUGAAAUGCGUAGAUAUCGGGAGGAACACCAGUGGCGAAGGCGACUACCUGGCCUGUUCUUGACGCUGAGGCGCGAAGGCUAGGGGAGCAAACGGG
rnacentral:rRNA from 1 species